rnacentral:rRNA from 1 species
CAGCAGUCGCCACGGUAAUACGUAGGUGGCAAGCGUUGUCCGGAAUUAUUGGGCGUAAAGCGCGCGCAGGUGGUUUAAUAAGUCUGAUGUGAAAGCCCACGGCUCAACCGUGGAGGGUCAUUGGAAACUGUUAAACUUGAGUGCAGGAGAGAAAAGUGGAAUUCCUAGUGUAGCGGUGAAAUGCGUAGAGAUUAGGAGGAACACCAGUGGCGAAGGCGGCUUUUUGGCCUGUAACUGACACUGAGGCGCGAAAGCGUGGGGAGCAAACAGGAUUAGAUACCCCUGUAGUCCCUGUCUCUUAUAC